rnacentral:rRNA from 1 species
CUGUAGGUUGGUACUUGUACCGAUUGGAUGAGCAGCGAACGGGUGAGUAAAACGUGGGGAAUCUGCCUUUGAGCGGGGGACAACAUUUGGAAACGAAUGCUAAUACCGCAUAAAAACUUUAAACACAAGUUUUAAGUUUGAAAGAUGCAAUUGCAUCACUCAAAGAUGAUCCCGCGUUGUAUUAGCUAUUUGGUGAGGUAAAGGCUCACCAAGGCGAUGAUACAUAGCCGACCUGAGAGGGUGAUCGGCCACAUUGGGACUGAGACACGGCCCAAACUCCUACGGGAGGCAGCAGUAGGGAAUCUUCGGCAAUGGACGAAAGUCUGACCGAGCAACGCCGCGUGAGUGAAGAAGGUUUUCGGAUCGUAAAACUCUGUUGAUAGAAAAGAACGUUGGUGAGAGUGGAAAGCUCAUCAAGUGACGGUAACUACCCAGAAAGGGACGGCUAACUACGUGCCACAGCCGCGGUAAUACGUAGGUCCCCAGCGUUGACCGGAUUUAUUGGGCGUAAACCGAGCUC